UACGUAGGGCGCGAGCGUUAUCCGGAAUUAUUGGGCGUAAAGAGCUCGUAGGCGGUUUGUCACGUCUGCUGUGAAAACUGGAGGCUCAACCUCCAGCCUGCAUUCGAUACGGGCAGGCUAGAGUUCGGUAGGGGAGACUGGAAUUCCUGGUGUAGCGGUGAAAUGCGCAGAUAUCAGGAGGAACACCGGUGGCGAAGGCGGUUCUCUGGGCAUUACCUGACGCUGAGGAGCGAAAGUGUGGGGAGCGAACAGG
rnacentral:rRNA from 1 species